UACGUAGGGUGCAAGCGUUAAUCGGAAUUACUGGGCGUAAAGCGUGCGCAGGCGGUUUUGUAAGUCUGUCGUGAAAGCCCCGGGCUCAACCUGGGAAUUGCGAUGGAGACUGCAAGGCUUGAAUCUGGCAGAGGGGGGGUAGAAUUCCACGUGUAGCAGUGAAAUGCGUAGAGAUGUGGAGGAACACCAAUAGCGAAGGCAGCUCGCUGGGACGGUACUGACGCUAAGGCGCGAAGGCGUGGGGAGCAAACAGG
rnacentral:rRNA from 1 species